UCCCGAUUGGCUCGGGCAGUCUCGUGUGACAUAUCUAACACACGACAAGGGUUGCGCUCGUUGCGGGACUUAACCCAACAUCUCACGACACGAGCUGACGACGGCCAUGCAACACCUGUCACUAGGGCCCGAAGGCACUCCCCUGUUUCCAAGGGAUUCCUAGGAUGUCAAGCCUUGGUAAGGUUCUUCGCGUAGCAUCGAAUUAAACCACAUGCUCCACUGCUUGUGCGGGUCCCCGUCAAUUCCUUUGAGUUUUAGCCUUGCGGCCGUACUCCCCAGGCGGGAUGCUUAACGCGUUAGCUUCGCAACGCAAAGGGUCGAUACUUCACACUACUAGCAUCCAUCGUUUACGGCGUGGACUAC
rnacentral:misc_RNA from 1 species